CUAGGGGAACCGAAAACAGUUCUAGACAGACCUGGGGUUUUAUAGCAGUUUUGGCAGUCAACUUCAGCUUGUGCCUGAGCAGACCGGCUGCGGUGGCCCGCCAGCGGGGACGCCAGGCUGCCUCCCCCAGCUGCCUGCAGCCCCUCUUCUAAUUAGCUCGGUUUCCCUUGGUGCCAGGGAGAAGGGGUCCCCACAGGAAGG
rfam:Myotis lucifugus cont2.18005, whole genome shotgun sequence.